ACUGGCUAUUUGGCUAAUUUCAAUUCAUUUCAUGGAAACCAACUCCUAGUCAAGCAACCAACACUCCAAGCUUCUGCUUCAUUUUCCUCUUGGAAGGUGUUGAGGAUUGUGAUGUCGAACACUAGCCGUUAAAGAAAUUCCGGCUAGUGCUCAUGUUACAAUUCUCACCAUUCGCCUAAACUUUUUACUGGUCAUCGAUUUCUUUGAGUCAUCGAUCACUUUGGUAGACCCUGGUAUAUUUAUAUCCUUCCUAUUUUAUUUUUUUUAUUUUUUCUUUUUAUUGUUGUUCUUCAUCUUAGUUUGGUUUAAGUCAUAUUAAUUGAUAAUUGAUUAAAUCGGAAACAAUAGCUUAGUAAUACGAUUAAUUAUUCAUGAUAAUGCAUUAAAAUCUGUUGAUUUUUCUUUUCCUUUUAUUUCUUUUCCUAUUUUUGUUUGUUUUUUGGAAGUUUCGUUGUCUGUAUUAGUUCAGAACUUUGUGGAUUUAGGCUUCUUGUGAAAUUGUGUUGGUUUUAGAUUAGAAAUUGGGCCUAGUAGUACAGAAGCCAGAAGAAAAUGGGGAAGGGUUCAAGCAUGUUGGGGUCUAGCCCAAUUAGUGGUACUUUCUAAAAAAGGUUAAUAACAUGAGUUGGAAGGUAAUUAGGGGAUUUGUAUAGAGAGAAUCUUUUAAAAACUGCCUAGGAAAGUUCAAGCAAUGUGAGAUUGGGGUGGAUUAACAAACAAGUUGUAAUUUCAGGGUUUAAAAUUAAAAAAAGAAAAAGAAAAUUGGGGAAUGGGUAAUGUUAAAAUCGAUUCUGUUGCCCUAGGGUCUUUCUAUAAAAGGUUUGUUUCCUUCAUUGUCAAUGCAGAGAUUAGAAUACAAAAAAAUUUGAAACGACUGAGAGAUAUACUCUGAAAACACUCAAGUUUUCGACAUUCUUUUGGGUGGAAAAUUGCUUGAAAUUGCCAAUUUGAUUUUCAUUGUUGGAAAAGUUUAAAAGCUUCAAAGAAUCUCUACUUUGUCUGGGGGUUUUAAAGGGUUUGAAAGGUGCUGAAUUUGCUGGUUGAUAAUUGAUGUUACUUUUGUUUAAGAGUUGUUGUUAUUGCUCUUUCCUUGCUGAAAGUUCUGUGUUUAUUUCUUGAUGUUCCAGGUAUGCCUUGGAUCUCGAAGUGACAUGUUGAAAUCUGCAAUGAGAAUGUUGAUGACACAGUAUUUUUUUGUUGAAUUCUAUUCUAGAUUAUUCAAUUAUGUAGUUAUUUAGCUCUUCUAUAUGUUUAUGUGUUCAUUUAUGUUAUUGCUAUUGAAGCUAAUUUGUAAGUUGGACAAGUACUUUAUUGGUUUAUGAAUUGGUGGAAGCCUUGUGGGACAUUUUUAGUUUUGCUUAAGUCCGUUGAACUCAGUAUGGUGUUUGGGAACUUUGCUUGAAUUGUUAAGUUAUAUGUAUGGGUUUGAAUGGUAAUCCCUAGUUGGAUUUCAAUAUCAUCUAAAUUUAGAAUA
rnacentral:lncRNA from 1 species